rnacentral:lncRNA from 10 species
GUGAAAUGCCUGUGGAGGUCUGCAAAGGCAGGGCCAGAACAAGAACUAAAUUUGAAGGGGGAUUUGAUCCAAGUGGGAGGCAGAUAAUGAGUGGAUUAACUCAGGUCAAGGGAAGAAAAAAGUGAAGGAGAAAAAUAGAUGAAGUAGUUGCAUAUUGGAAUAACAAGUAACUAGAGGUGACCUUUUUGAUGUAGAUGGCAGAGCCAGCUAACAGGGAGCUUUGCAGCAGGCAGGGAAUACUCCUGAAACUGCAAAUGUCCCAGGAGGGAGGUGAGAGAGGCUUCCAAUGCUGAGCACAGAGAGGUCUGCUCAGUCCUCCUGCAAACAGCUGAUGAGUGGCAAAACUUGCUUUCAGAAUUGAUAAAAGCACCCCUAAGGGAGCUGAUGGCUUACAGAAUUACUUCCAAGAGGAAACUCUUUCACUCAGAUGACUGCAAACUGGAUCAAACUGAACUCCACAAGCACGCUGCAUUUUGAAAAGUAAUUGUGCUCAGGAUCGUCCUGGCUGCUGUGUUGUAAACAGACUACCUGGGCUAAAGGGCAGAAGGAGAUCAGUUAUGGCAAUCCUGGCUACUGAUGAUGAAAACUUGGACCCAGGAGUUGCAAUGGAAGCAAUGAAAAGAGCAGAAGUUUCUGGAUUCAUUUUAAAUUUAGAACUGACCAGAUAGUGUCUAGUCUGCUGCCCAGGAUCGAGUGUAGUGGCAUGAUCAAUCAACGCUCAUUGCAGUUUCAACCUCCGGGCUCAAGCAAUCUUCCAACAUCAGCUUCCCAAGUAGCUAGGACCACAGAUGCUGACUCCAAGGGGACUCCCUAAUAACCUUUCCUCAUGCAGAUCUCCAUGUGAGUCAACUUCCUGAAGAAUCCCACCUGUGACAGGUUGUAAGAAAAUGAACUGAACUAUUUUAAGUAAGACUUUGUGAAGCUACGUGUGCCUUGGGCAACAAGUUUCAGGCAAAAGCAUUUUUUUUUUCUAUUCUACAAUAGUCACCCAUUAUAGAAAAAAAAUCUUGCAAUAGCUUUGAGAUAUUACACCUUUUUAUGGUAGGGUUUGAUCUUGGCUCCUUUUUCCCUUAUAGAAAAUCAUGGACAAUACCUUGCCACUUUUCCAAUACGCUCUAAAUUCUCAAUAGUUGGAGACUUCGUUUUUUCCAUCUUGGAAACCACAUAUUUUAUAAAGCCUUGUACACAGCGGAUGUGUGAUGAAUAAGUUGGUGACUGACUGUAUUAGUGAAGUAAUGAACAAAUGAAUAUAAGAGUCUAGCUCAUGAAGCAUUUUUUUUUACCCUGAAUGAAUUUUUCAAGGUAUACAAUUAUGCAAAGACAAUGAAAUUAAAAUACUAAAAUAAUAACAGUCUGGAGGCUCUCCUGCACAAAAGAAAUCUUUAGCUAUUGGAAGGUAGCACAGUUUUAGAAAAGGAAUUAUAAAAAAGGAGAAUUGGCAGCAACGCUGGACUUCUGAAAGAAAGAUCAUGUAAUAUACAAGAACUUAAGCAAGCAAUUAUGCCACGUCGCAAAAGGCUGUUUUGAUGUGCUACUUGAGAGUGCUAUUUCAUGUUGACCUUUGCGUUAGAAGAUGUGGCUGCCUACAGCCGUGCAUUUAAAGAUGAUGAAUGUUAAGUGGAAAGGCCAGUGAAAUGGUGAGUAGUUCCUACAGGGCUUGUCUUUGGACUUCCAUUGCUGGGUGCUGUUACCUUAGUUUGGAUUGAGAGAGAGCCGCUGGUAUUGUGUGGCUUCCAAAAACCCUGGCAAAUAUCAGCCAUGUUCAUUCUCCACCAGGAAAUCAGUAUCAUAGUUUGAAACUAAAAAUUCAACCAAUUAUUUAUACUAAUUAGAGUCCUUAGAUGCCGAAUCACCUGCAGAAUGAAGUUGAAACUUUUUAGGAUGGUGUAAGAUACAUCACAAUUUGACCCAUUUCUAGUUUAUUGCCUUCCACCUCAACUCCUCCCACUUUAGGCUCCAAUGAUACAAAAUCUUUUACAUUUUCUAUUUGUUUCCACUUGGCCAAAAUUGAUUCCCCUUUCUUCUGGUAAGUUUUCCUAAUUCACCUAGUUUUCCUUUGGGUAGUUGAUCCAUUCAUCGCCCAUUUUAUGUGCUUUCCUGGAGAUUGUCAAUUGCAAUACCUUGCCUGCCAUCCACCAAGAUAAGUGUGGGACAUGAGUAGGCCACACGGUACAAUUUGAGGUGGGCAGAUGAAGGCCAGUGGAGGUUGUUUGUGAAAACUGGUACAUGGUUGUUGAGAAACAGAGAAUCUGUCUUUUUCCUAGCUCGUCAACCAUUAGGAUGUAGGCAUAGAAUUAUAAACCCUAAUUUCCACCAGCUGAAGUGAUUCUGCCUGAGAACAAAGUUAAAACACCAAGAGAAAAGCUGAGGAAGAGUGGAGAGGGAGUGGGGAAAAAUAAGAACCAAGGAAGAGAGGGGAGGUAGGUAUGGAAGUAGGGGGAGAGUGGGGAAGUCCCUCACAACAUUGCAUGAGCCCCUGGAUUUCACCAUGCCUAAAGUGAGAUUCUCCUUCAGAUAUGCCUUAAAAUAAUUCAAUAAAUCAUCCUGUGACCUUAAUGUGGUUAAGUAUUAUUUUUGCCACUACAACCUGAAUAAGGCCUAAUAUUUUCUACAAUAUUAUCUCAAAAAAAUUGUACAAUCGACUUGGUCUGCUUAGAAUGUUUUCUAGUCUUUGACUAUUUGGCUAAUAUGUAUCCUUUCUUUAAAACCCAAGUUAUAAGGCUUUGGGUAUAUACCCAGUAAUGGGAGUGCAGGGUCAAAUGGUAUUUCUGGUUCUAGAUCCCUGAGGAAUCGCCACACUGUCUUCCACAAUGGUUGAACUAAUUUACACUCCCACCAACAGUGUAAAAGCGUUCCUAUUUCUCUACAUCCUCUCCAGCACAUGUUGUUUCCUGACUUUUUAAUUAUCACCAUUCUAACUGGUGUGAGAUGGUAUCUCAUUGUGGUUUUGAUUUGCAUUUCUCUAAUGACCAGUGAUGAUGAGUUUUUUUCCCUAUGUUUGUUGGCCGCAUAAAUGUUUUCUUUUGAGAAGUGUCUGUUCAUAUACUUUGCUCACUUUUUGACGGGGU